UUGCUCGUGUUUCUCUUCAUAACGCACAAGUCUUUCGCCUUUUACUAAAGACUUCCGUGGAGAGUAACGUCAAUGAGUUGACCAUAUUUUUUGGGGGCUCGGUCUAACGGCCGAGCU